rnacentral:rRNA from 1 species
GGAAAAGAAACUAACAAGGAUUCCCCUAGUAACGGCGAGUGAAGCGGGAAGAGCUCAAAUUUGAAAUCUUAAAGGGUUUCCCUUUACGAAUUGUAGUUUAAAGAAGUGUUUUCUGUUGAGGUUUUGGUAAAAGUUCUUUGGAAUAGGACAUCAUAGAGGGUGAGAAUCCCGUAUUUGACCUUUACUUUCAACUUUGUGAUACACUUUCAAAGAGUCGGAUUGUUUGGGAAUGCAGUCCAAAAUGGGUGGUAAAUUUCAUCUAAAGCUAAAUAUUGGCGAGAGACCGAUAGCGAACAAGUACCGUGAGGGAAAGAUGAAAAGAACUUUGAAAAGAGAGUUAAACAGUACGUGAAAUUGUCAAAAGGGAAGCGUUUGACACCAGUGUUGUUUUUCUGAAAAUCAAUUAAAGAACUGUUUAUGCUAAGUUGUUUAGACUUUAUCAGCUAACUGUUUAGUUUUGAGCUUUUCUUUAAUGCACUUUUCAGUUAACAAGUCAACAUCAAUUUCUUUUGCUGUAAAAAAGCUUGAGGAAGGUGGCUUGAGAUUCGUCUUAAGUGUUUAUAGCCUCUUGCCUAUGCAGUCGGAGAGAUUGAGGUCUGCAGCGUAGAUCCUUCGGGGCUAAAUGCAUUUGUGCUAAGUUAUAGCAUUUUAUAGACAACUUGUUGACUAUGAUUUGUCUUGU